GGCCCCGUAGAUCAGUUGGCUAGAGCAUUGACUGUACUAAAGCCUUCCCUUCGCUUGAGUGGGUUCGAAUCCCACCGAGGCCA
rnacentral:tRNA from 1 species